rnacentral:rRNA from 1 species
AGAGUUUGAUCCUGGCUCAGAUUGAACGCUGGCGGCAGGCCUAACACAUGCAAGUCGAGCGGUAGAGAGGAGCUUGCUCCUCUUGAGAGCGGCGGACGGGUGAGUAAUGCCUAGGAAUCUGCCUGGUAGUGGGGGAUAACGUUCGGAAACGGACGCUAAUACCGCAUACGUCCUACGGGAGAAAGCAGGGGACCUUCGGGCCUUGCGCUAUCAGAUGAGCCUAGGUCGGAUUAGCUAGUUGGUGAGGUAAUGGCUCACCAAGGCGACGAUCCGUAACUGGUCUGAGAGGAUGAUCAGUCACACUGGAACUGAGACACGGUCCAGACUCCUACGGGAGGCAGCAGUGGGGAAUAUUGGACAAUGGGCGAAAGCCUGAUCCAGCCAUGCCGCGUGUGUGAAGAAGGUCUUCGGAUUGUAAAGCACUUUAAGUUGGGAGGAAGGGCAGUAAAUUAAUACUUUGCUGUUUUGACGUUACCGACAGAAUAAGCACCGGCUAACUCUGUGCCAGCAGCCGCGGUAAUACAGAGGGUGCAAGCGUUAAUCGGAAUUACUGGGCGUAAAGCGCGCGUAGGUGGUUUGUUAAGUUGGAUGUGAAAUCCCCGGGCUCAACCUGGGAACUGCAUUCAAAACUGACUGACUAGAGUAUGGUAGAGGGUGGUGGAAUUUCCUGUGUAGCGGUGAAAUGCGUAGAUAUAGGAAGGAACACCAGUGGCGAAGGCGACCACCUGGACUAAUACUGACACUGAGGUGCGAAAGCGUGGGGAGCAGACAGGAUUAGAUACCCUGGUAGUCCACGCCGUAAACGAUGUCAACUAGCCGUUGGAAGCCUUGAGCUUUUAGUGGCGCAGCUAACGCAUUAAGUUGACCGCCUGGGGAGUACGGCCGCAAGGUUAAAACUCAAAUGAAUUGACGGGGGCCCGCACAAGCGGUGGAGCAUGUGGUUUAAUUCGAAGCAACGCGAAGAACCUUACCAGGCCUUGACAUCCAAUGAACUUUCUAGAGAUAGAUUGGUGCCUUCGGGAACAUUGAGACAGGUGCUGCAUGGCUGUCGUCAGCUCGUGUCGUGAGAUGUUGGGUUAAGUCCCGUAACGAGCGCAACCCUUGUCCUUAGUUACCAGCACGUCAUGGUGGGCACUCUAAGGAGACUGCCGGUGACAAACCGGAGGAAGGUGGGGAUGACGUCAAGUCAUCAUGGCCCUUACGGCCUGGGCUACACACGUGCUACAAUGGUCGGUACAGAGGGUUGCCAAGCCGCGAGGUGGAGCUAAUCCCACAAAACCGAUCGUAGUCCGGAUCGCAGUCUGCAACUCGACUGCGUGAAGUCGGAAUCGCUAGUAAUCGCGAAUCAGAAUGUCGCGGUGAAUACGUUCCCGGGCCUUGCACUCAACGCCCGUC